CUGAGUGUGAAAAAUUGAAAAUACUUAAGACAAGAAAUGGCGAAAAGUUGGGAAGAUGACCCUGAAGGAGUUUAGGAUUGCGUGAGGUCGUCGUUCUUGAUGUCUACGCUACGUCUUGAUGACCAUAGAGUAGACGGGAGGUGGUUCAGUAAGAGUAUGCGACAGCUGCACCAGCCACCGAAAAAAAUAAAGUGGAAAUUUUUGCAAGCGGCCGGUGAUAAAUCUGGAGGUUGAAAGCUUAACAAAGAGCACAAGUAUUAAAAAUAUGUGUAUUUAUUUAUGAUAAAUUUUUCUAGAGCUUACUCUCGGAGUCUCGAACAAUCUAAAAUGCUUGAAACUUACACAGGCCGAUGUAGUUACGAGUGUAGGAUAAGUAAGCACAGGUUGGUGCGCUGGGUGGUUCUGCUGGCGAAAUGCCAACCAACCGCCGAAUUUAGAACCGCGGAUGCUGACUAACUCGCGUGGCAUUCAUUCAAUCGUUUGCCUCGACUCUUCAACUUGUAUCUGUCCUUCGGCGCUAUCUGUUUAGACUUAAGUCUUAUGCUCAAAGCUUUUAUCUCCGGAAUUUAAAUCUGAAGAAAAUUCCAUCGUUUCUUAAAGUGAGAUUAAGGAGACUUUUACAUACUUUACGAUCUCGCGCGUGCCGACAAUCUUACAGCGGAGCAAAGGGCGAGGAAGGAACUGCACUGGGGUUGUAAAAAUAGAUGCUUUAUACUCUGUGCCUUGUAUUGCUUACUGGAAUAAUUGAUGGAAACAAUUAAAUUAAAAUUUUAUACUUUUUUGUAUUCAAAUUGACUUGUUUAUUUUUCAAAUAUUUUAUUGGUUACAUUUUAAUGAGUUUUUGAUUUAAAGUGUCAUUAAAAUUUUAAAUUCAAAUUUUUUUGUUUUGACUCGGAUUAUUUAAAAAUUUAUAUUUUUUCAGGUUUUUAAAAAUAUUCAAUUUUUAUUUAAAAUUCACGCACUAACGUGAUC